GGCCCCGUAGCUCAGUUGGAUAGAGCACCAGCCUUCUAAGCUGAAUGUCGCUGGUUCGAAUCCAGCCGGGGUCGCCA
rnacentral:tRNA from 1 species